GAUGAACGCUGGCGGCGUGCCUAAUACAUGCAAGUCGAGCGAACAGACGAGGAGCUUGCUCCUCUGACGUUAGCGGCGGACGGGUGAGUAACACGUGGAUAACCUACCUAUAAGACUGGGAUAACUUCGGGAAACCGGCGCUAAUACCGGAUAAUAUAUUGAACCGCAUGGUUCAACAGUGAAAGACGGUUUUGCUGUCACUUAUAGAUGGAUCCGCGCCGCAUUAGCUAGUUGGUAAGGUAACGGCUUACCAAGGCAACGAUGCGUAGCCGACCUGAGAGGGGGAUCGGCCACACUAGAGCUGAGACACCGUCACGAGUCCUACGGGAGGCAGCAGUAGGGAAUCUGACGCAAUGGGCGAAAGCCUGACGGAGCAACGCCGCGUGAGUGAUGAAGGUCUUCGGAGCGUAAAACUCUGUUAUUAGGGAAGAACAACUGUGUAAGUAACUAUGCACGUCGUGACGGUACCUAAUCAGAAAGCAACGGCUAACUACGUG
rnacentral:rRNA from 1 species